GAUAAAAUUAAGAGAAUUAUUUAAUAUUUCAUUGUAAUGAUUCACUAGCCUUGUUACUGACCGUCCCUAGAGCAGGUGGCAAAGGGUUUGGUGGUUGGUAUCCGAGACCCAAAUUCGAAUCUAGUUGAUUCACAUUUUCAGCUAAGUUUAUUGUUAAAUAAAAUAAACGAACCGGGUAGCGUGCUACCUAUCUCUUAAAAAAAAAAAAAAACUUGUGCCC
rnacentral:lncRNA from 1 species